AAGAAAUCAAUAAAGAGUUUGAAGAGAAGAAGCCUGAGCUCCAACCUAAAGUGGUCGAAAUCUAUGAAGCUUCUUCAGCUGAAAUCAAGGUCUCUACAUGAAUGAACAUACCAAAUCUGUUAUAGCUACAAAUGUCAGAGAGAAUUAAAAAGAUCCAAUUCAUGCAAGUUUUUAUUUAUUAAUUUAACCUUUUUUUUUUUUUUUGGCUUUGGCUUUGGCGUUUAAAUGAAAAUACAGACCCUGGUCAAGGAUCGCAAGGAGGAUGGACUUAAGAAGCACUCCACUGCUGUGCACAAGUUACUUGAAGAACUCGUUAAAAUCGGUAAAAUAGUUCUAUCACAUAUGGUAUUAUUAAUUAAAGUUAAGGUCAUGUGUUAAAAUCACAUGAGAAUUUUAUUAACAUAUAUGUAUGUGUGUAUAUACAGAGUUUCCAGGAUCAAAAGCAGUAAGUGAAGCAUCGUCAAAGUUUGGGGCAGCCUCUGUUCCGGGGCCAGUUUUCUUCAUAUUUGAGAAGGUCUCAACGUUUAUUGUUACUGAAGAAAAAGCAGCAGAGCCAGCAACCGCGGCAGCAGGAGAAGAAACAAAACCAGAACAAGAGACAACAAGUAGUAGUACCGCCGCAGUCACAGAGAAGGACGACGUAGUUGUUGAGGAAGAGAAGAAAGAAGAGGCCCCCGCCGGCCCUGAGAAAACUGAGCCGGCAGAAGCCGCCGCCGCCCCAGCCCCAACUGAGCCUCUUCCUGCCGCCGCCAAGGAGGACCAACCAGCUGCUGCAGAGCCACCAAAGCCUUGAGAACAUGCAUCAACUGACAAGACAAAUUCAUAUCCAUAUAUACAUAGAUAUAUAUUUCAUAUUCAUCAAGUGAAAGUGAAGUAAUAAUGUUAAUAUUUUGUGUACGUAAAAGUCUUGUAAAAUGCAAAACAUGAUUU
rnacentral:lncRNA from 1 species